rnacentral:lncRNA from 1 species
UUUGGUCCUCAACUUAACUCUUUUUUUUUUUUUUUUUUUUGAGAAAUAGAUAGCACGCUACCCGCUUCGUUUAUUUCAUUUAGAAAUAAACUUAGCUGAAAAUGUGAAUCAACUAGGAUUCGAACUUGGAUCUCGGGUACCAACCACCAAGCCCUUUGCCACUUGCUCUAGGGACGCUCGGUCUCAACUUAACUUAUUAUAAUUUAUGUUUCGAGCAUUUACAAUUGUUGUAAGCAACUCUUGGCUCAAUUAAUUAGCUGAUUAAAUAUUGACGCGUUAUUGACAUAAGUAAUACAACAAUUUAAUUAUUAUCGCAUUAUUAGCCACAAUACUUUUACGUCAUUUCUGUAUUAAUAAUUUAUCAGCAUUUAGCCAACUAAGUUAUGUAGUGAGACUUGAUUACAAUAAUUAUAAAAGUUUAUGUUAAAAAUUACAAUAAAUUAAAGUUUGAGGACCAAAGCCUCACCUGACGCAUAGUUUGAGACCCCAGCGUGCAAUUUAUCCAUUCUGAUUUACUGUUUAUGUAAAGCGAUAUAUUAUUAUUAGGGAUAAUUGCCUAUAUAUCCCUCAAAACUUCGGAAAUAUCUCAUUUAUCCCUACUUUUUUUUUCUUUCCAAUAUACCCCUUAUAUGUUCCUCCGUUAUUCCAAAAUAUCCCGAUAGUUAUCAUCUGUUAAGUUAACGUAGGUUAAACGUAAAUUAAAUAUCUACCACAGUUAAAAAAAAAUUAAAAUGCCACUUUUGUCCUUAGCUUAAGAGCAAUUAAGAAAUAUUGGUGAUGGUAGAAUGGUAUAUUUGAAAAAAUCAAAAAGCAAAAUACUUUUCAUGCCCCUAUCUUAAGAGCAAAUAAGUAAAGUCGGUGCUGGUAGAAGGAUAUAUUAGAAAGAGCAAAAUAGUAAUUUUAUAGAGAUAACAGAGUUCAUUAACAGAUUUUAACUCUAGGGUAUAUUCGAAAUAUGUUGGAACGUAAAAAAAUAUUUUUAAUAUUAACCUUCUAAGAGGAAUAAAUCAGAAAGUCGAAAACGUUUCAGGGAUAUAUAAGCAAUUUCCCUUUAUUAUUAUUAUUAUUAUUAUUAAAGCUUUCAAAAUU